AACGAACGCUGGCGGCAUGCCUAACACAUGCAAGUCGAACGAGACCUUCGGGUCUAGUGGCGCACGGGUGCGUAACGCGUGGGAACCUUCCCUUAGGUUCGGAAUAACUCCCCGUAAGGGAUGCUCAUACCGGAUAAUGUCUUCUGCCCAAUGAUUUAUCGCCAUGGGUUGUGGCCGCGUUGGAUUAGCUAGUUGGUAUGGUAAAAGCUUACCAAGGCUACGCUGCAUGGCUGGUCGGUGAGGAGGACCGGCCACACUGGGAAUGCGACCCGGACCAGUAUCGGACGGGGGGGAGCAGUAGGGAGUACAGGGGGAGGAGCGAAAGCGUGGUCAAGCAGUGCCGCGUAAGAGAGGAAGGGGUUAGUGUUGUAAUGCUCUUUUGGAAGAGAUGAGAAUGACGGUACCGGGAGAAGAAGCGCCGGCUAACUACGUG
rnacentral:rRNA from 1 species